rnacentral:rRNA from 1 species
UACGGAGGAUCCGAGCGUUAUCCGGAUUUACUGGGCGUAAAGGGAGCGUAGGCGGACUUUUAAGUGAGAUGUGAAAUACCCGGGCUCAACUUGGGUGCUGCAUUUCAAACUGGAAGUCUAGAGUGCAGGAGAGGAGAAUGGAAUUCCUAGUGUAGCGGUGAAAUGCGUAGAGAUUAGGAAGAACACCAGUGGCGAAGGCGAUUCUCUGGACUGUAACUGACGCUGAGGCUCGAAAGCGUGGGGAGCAAACAGGAUUAGAUACCCU